rnacentral:lncRNA from 1 species
CGCUGCAGGAAAAUUGCCACGUGAAGGUGUUCUCUGUCAUUCCUUCAGCCAUGAAGCAAUGAUUUUUUUAAACUAAGUGCUGGCCCUGUGCUGAAUUCUAGGGUCCCAGGGAUGAAAGGUGGCACCACGCUCACUAUGAUCUAAAAGAAGCUUCGGAGGAGAGUGAUGCAGAAAGUGUGUUCUAGAAGCGCACCAAGGAGAAGCCCCCAGCAGAUAGCAACAAGCUAUGACACUGAAGGAAGAGGGUACAUUACUUACCAAGAGUUUUUACAGAAACUCGGUAUUAACUCCUCACCAGCAGUCCACCGGCCCUAUGCAGAAGAUUACUUCAACUUCCUGGGUCAUUUCACGAAGCCCCAGCAAGUGCAAGAAGAAAUCCACGAGCCGCAGCAGAGCACAGAGAGGGCUGUGCCAGCCAGGGUUCAGCUUAUGGACCACUAUCAGGACAUCAACAAAGCACUCAGUGCACUGGAUAAGUCCCAGUCCAGCUCAUGUCCCUCUGCAAGAUGCAAAGGUCAUUGCAGGAGUGUGGCUGUCCCCUGAAGGAGGAGAAGCUGACCAGUCUUCUGCACAGUUUGGGAAUCAUCUGCCAUGAUAAUACCAUCAAUUACCUUGACUUCUUGAGAGCACUGAAGAGCAGCAAGAAAACUAGACCUCAGCCAGAAGAGAAAGAAGAAAGCAUGCCAAUCAACUUCUCCACACUGAACCCAGAGGAAGUCGUGAGGAACAUCCAGGAGGUGGUCAGCUCCUCCCACCCGGCUUUGUUACAGGCAUUUUCUGCAUUGGACAAAGAAGACACGGGGUUUGUGAAGGCUACAGAUUUUGGACAAGUGCUUAAGGAUUUCUGCUACAAGCUAACAGACAGCCAGUUCCAUUAUUUUUUGAGGAAACUAAGAAUUCACCUAACACCCUACAUACAUUGGAAGUAUUUUCUUGAGAACUUCGGCUGUUUCUGAGAGGAGGUGAGGCAUCUGCAGCACUUACGCAUCUCUUUGUGAAGGGAGAAGCUAAAAUUAGUUUUUACAAAAUGGGUAAUGGAUUAUAAGUACAUCAGAUAAGUUGGCAAUCACCUCACGUAAUUAACUUGUUGAAAAUGAAAAAUUGGUACGAAUUCUACAUACAGUAUUAGAAAGUGAAUGUGCAUCCUCUACUUUAUUGGAAAGAUUUUUUAAAUUUUUUGUUUUGUUUUAUUUUAUUUUAUUCCAGUGAGGUUUGGGAGCUUGCUUCUGUCUGGUAGCUUAGAGUUCCAAGGAAUCUUAGGUCCCACAAGACAAUCCUGUUCAGAACAGUGGGGUCCCCAUGGACGGCAAUGCUCUGGAGGGGUGAGCAUGGAGGCCAUGGGUUGAAGUGGGAGGAAGUUGCCCCAGGAGAGGCAGGGAGGGCUGCCAGGAGGAGAGGUGAUCCACCACAGAGCUCUCCAUCCUUCCUGCCCCCGUCCUCUCUGGCUGUGCACACCACUUAUUCCCAGGCCAUUUCUCAUCUUUGCACACAAACUGACCAACCUCACCAGUCACACAUACAGCCUCACUGCAACCAGCCUUCAGCCUUCGGCCACCAUCCUGGGCAGAGCGCUGUGUGGAGGGAGCAGGGACACACAGGUGCCUUGGUCCCUGCAUUUGUGGAAGGGAAGGGCCGCAACAACUUGGCGGGAAAAUGCUUAAGCAUUUCCAGUCUUCUGCUUUUAUGUAUAAUGGUAUGAUAAACACUUCAGUUCACAAGUGCUUGGUCAUUUAUCUGGCAUGAAUUCAUGGAAAUGAAGCUGCUAGGGCAAAUAUCUCCAUCUUUCUUAAGGUUUGAGGUUAAUAGUUGAAACAGCAGCAAACACCCUGGGGUACUUCCUGUGGCAGCUGCUGGGCAUCUCAUUCUUUUGGUAGUGCUGUGAGGCACAAGCUAUUAAUAUCCCUGUUUUAUGGAUCAGGACAGUGGCACAGAGAAACUAGAUAGUGGGCAAGUAGCAUAUCUAGUCUGUUAACCCAAGAAAUCUGGCUCCUGCCUCCAGGCUCCUAAACCCUUGCCUUCUGUGAUUUGUUUUUCCAAUCUUACCAUUCAGAUGGCUGCUCUUGAAUAUAUUCUAUUGUUAUGUUUUAAAACUUUACAUAAAUGCUAUAUACAUAAAUGUUAUCUUGAACGUUUGCUGCAGUUAGGUUUUUCUUGCUUGGUAUUAUGUGUUAAGAUGUAUGCAUGUUAAUAUGUUGGCUUUAGUUUGUUCACUGAAGUGGCUAUAAAAAUCCAAUUAAAUGAGCCUAUUCUUGUGAAAGAAUGAGCUGCCGGCCAGUAUCAGGGAGGUUGAAUGUGUACAUUGUCCUCAGUUUCCUCUCUUACAAAACAGGCACCACCAGCAGCACACAGGGGCUACUCCAACAGAAUUGCUGGUGCCAAGCCUAUGCCCCGCUUCCCAGGCAGUGUACCAGUCUACCAGUGUAGUCUCCCACCUGCAGUUCAGGGAAACUCUUGAGGUGCCCCAGCCCCGCCAACCCUAGGGAUCUAUCUGGUCAUUGGUAAAGACCAACACUUGUGUUGUCGGCCACCCAAAUUUCCCGGUUUGCAAAUUCCAGGGGGAAAAAAAACAACUCUAGUCCUUUGUCGCUAGGUGAGUUGCAAAUACCUCUGCCUGAUCUGUGACUUGUCUUUGCUCUCCUUAUGAUGAGCCUCAGUCAUUUUAAUGAUUAUACUUUUUGUGGUUUUAAAAGAAAUGCAUAUUCAUUGCAGAAAGUUUGGGAAAUGCAGGGAAAUACACGGCAGUCAUCAGAACCCCACAGUCAUGGUAUGAUGACGAGAAAAGCCUCAACUGGGGAGCUGCUAAGCACUGGGCUCUUGUCCAGUCAUUGUUCCUAGCAAGGAGGGGGUCAGGCAACUCCAAGAAACCCCAGCACCCCCAGCGAGGGGGCAGGCAGGUCCGGCUUCUGGGUGCAUGUUCAUCCUGUGGCCACACUACCUUGAGGAUCUGAUUUUUUUUUUUCUGUUUUUAAUGCUUUGCAAUUUUUUUUUUUUUGCAGAGUGACAUUAUUGGGUUUCUUAUCUUUUUUCACUUAAUGUUAUAUUACACCAUGUCACUUAAAGGUUUUCCAAACAUCAAUUACAAUGUCUACAAAGCAUUUCAUUGACUCCCUUAUUUUUAAACAGUUAGAUUGUUUUUUUCCAAGCCUUUGCAGCUGUAAUUUACUCUGCAGUGAACACUUUAUAUGUAAAUCUAUAUCCCCGUUUUAGAUUCUUUCCAAAGAAAUGAAAUAAAUGGGGCCAAAGAAUAGGUGUCUUUUUUAUUGAUCUUGAAAGCAGUCCCUUAUUUAUUUUUAAUUUUUUUUUGUUGGGUUGAAAUCAUCAUUUUAAAAAUCACUCAUGAUUGGAUAUUGAUAAUUGCAUAUGGCUUCAGCUAGUAUUUGUAGAAGUCUUUUGUGUCCCUCACACACUAUUUGGAACAUACUGAUGACUUUGAAGAAAAGCCUGGAACCCCAGGCCCAGCCAUGUGAACAUCUCUGUGCUGCGUAAGCCCCCAGGCCACCCUCUUCUGCGCCCACCUCCCUAGGGAGGGGUAGUGAACAGACCACGUGUGCCGCUGUGAGUCCUUUUUAAAAAACAUUUUAUUUGUAUCAAGGUUAAUUUAUGUCCAUAUCAAAAUAAAAUGGAAUUGUUGGGAAAGAUUUAAACACAGAUCUUCCUGUUCACCACCCCCCCAUCCUGCACCCUAAAGCCCUGGAUCUGUGGCUGUUGCUGAUUCUUGAGCCUGUGCCUUCCCACCUGUUGGCUGGUCCUGCUGUUUUUUCAGCACCCUCUCCGGGCCAUGUUCCCAGCAUGCUGUGUGGUGGUUGUGUCUUUCUCCAGCCCUUUCUCCAUCUGCAUGGCUCUCCUGUGGGCCUGCAUCCCGGACACAGGGCAGAUAGAUGCAGUCCGUGCCUUCCAGGUGCCUCAGGCCUGCACAGGGAGACAGACAAGGAAGAGUGACAGGUUGUGUCGUGUGUCGGGCUCUGGUGUCCCAUGGCAGAGGGAGGGCCCUGCUGUGAGGGGAU